rnacentral:rRNA from 1 species
AGAUUGAACGCUGGCGGCGUGCCUAACACAUGCAAGUCGAGCGGUAACAGGUGUAGCAAUACAUGCUGACGAGCGGCGAACGGGUGAGUAAUGCUUUGGAAUCUUCCCAGUAGUGGGGAAUAACCAGUCGAAAGAUUGGCUAAUACCGCAUACGUCUGUAAAGGGAAAGCGGGGGUUCGUAAGACCUCGCGCUAUUGGAUGAGCCAAAGUCGGAUUAGCUUGUUGGUGGGGUAAUGGCCUACCAAGGCGACAAUCCGUAGCUGGUCUGAGAGGACGACCAGCCACACCGGAACUGAGACACGGUCCGGACUCCUACGGGAGGCAGCAGUGGGGAAUAUUGGACAAUGGGGGAAACCCUGAUCCAGCGACGCCGCGUGUGUGAAGAAGGCCUGCGGGUUGUAAAGCACGUUUUAGUGGGGACAAAAGCUACGGAUUAAUACUCUGUGGUCUUGAUUUAACCCAAAGAAAAGCACCGGCUAACUCUGUGCAGCAGCCGC